CCCCUAGAUGUUCUGGGCCGCACGCGCGCUACACUGAACAGUUCAACAAGUCUUAACCUUGGCCGAUAGGUCUGGGUAAUCUUUGAACGCUGUUCGUGAUUGGGAUAGACCUUUGCAAUUAGGGGUCUUCAACGAGGAAUUCCUAGUAAACGCAAGUCAUCAGCUUGCAUUGAUUACGUCCCUGCCCUUUGUACACACCGCCCGUCGCACCUACCGAUUGAAUGGUCCGGUGAAAUCUCGGGACGGCGGCUUGGUCGCUUGCGUCCGACUGCUGAAACUUGAUUAAACCAUAUCAUUUAGAGGAAGGUGAAGUCGUANCA
rnacentral:rRNA from 1 species